GCCGCUUUUGAUUGAAAAACUCCUAGCACAACACAUUUUGUUUAGGACUCCUGUAAUAUAACUAUUUUUGUUUUCUUAUUUAGGAUGAAACUAAAGAAAAGGUGUCUCAUGGAUAUCUCACCAUGUGACCAGGGAGAAGAUUAUGAUGCAGAUUCAAGUGGUGGAUCAAACAUGCUUUUGCCACCCAGGAGCAGUUCUGGUGACAACAGUUCCCUGUUCAGGGCACUACCAACUCUCUUCCUAUCACAAGCUGCACCACCCAAGAAGAUGGGACAUGUCAGUGAAGCACUGAUUCAUGUCCUUCAGAAGAUCCAGCGUCAGCCCUGUUCAGCUCUUUGAAGGGUCCCGCUGUCUUAUUGCAGUUGGAACCACUCCCAUCACCACAUUUGCCACAGAUGACCUUGGAGAAGGUUUGCUGUAUCUUAUGGCAUACUACUACACCCUGCAUCUUACCUAUCCUAAAUGUGUGGCAACGCUUCUGUCUGUCAUUCAGACUGAAGCGUUAAAAGACAAAAUCCAUGAGCAAGACACCACAGGCUCAUACAAAAAAGUCAUGGCAGGCUGUAGGAAUUUUUAUUGAAACAUAGAGCUGUUCUUCAACAUUUUGCUUAGAACAAGUGGUUAAAGCUUAUUUUAGGUUUCAAUUGCCGUGAUUGGUUGCCUGGAAUAAGUGUGUAAGGAUUAUUUUAAGAUUUAACUAUCUUAUUUGUUCCCUAGAAUAAGUGGUUAAAUUUUAUUUUAAAUUUCAAUUGUUCUGAUUUGUUGCCUGGAAUAAGUGUAAAAGACUUAAGAAGAUUUAAAUAAAGCUAAAAUUAUUUCAAGAAAUCUUAGUAAGAAAAAA